AUGCAAACACUACGUAGAAAAAUGGCAUCUUGCUCAACACCACUGUUGUACCUCUGCUUACUGCUGGUGCCAUGCCUUCUUCUCUUGGAAGAAGCGCAUGCGGCACGCCAUGGAGGGAUCUUGCUGAGGUCUCAACGUAUGGCCCUCCUCCGCUGGAAAGCUACACUUGCAGGCCCACCGCUGCAGAUGAGCUCUUGGCAGGAAAACACCAGCCCGUGCAACUGGACAGGCAUCAUGUGCACGGCUGUUCGCCAUGGCCGCCGUGUACCCAGGGUGGUGACCAACAUCUCCCUGCCGGAUGCGGGCAUCCAUGGCAAAUUUGGUGAGCUCAACUUCUCGUCUCUUCCAUUCCUCUCAUAUAUUGACCUACGUAACAACAGCCUCCAUGGUGCACUGCCUACUAGUAUCAGCUCUCUGUUAGCACUUUCGGUACUUGGCCUUACCUACAACCAGCUUACAGGGAAAAUUCCUAAUGAGAUUGGUGGUCUACAAAGUCUCAUGCAGCUUGAGCUAUCAUUUAACAGAUUCACAGGACAUAUCCCUGCGUCUCUAGGCAACCUGACAAUGUUAACUUAUCUUGGCAUUCACCAAAACUUGGUAUCAGGUCCCAUUCCUGGGGAGAUUGGAAGGCUCGUCAACCUACAACUUCUACAACUAAGCAACAGUAGCUUAAGCGGCAUGAUACCAAAAACCCUUGGAAAUCUGACCAAACUAAAUACUUUGUACUUGUUUGGUAAUCAACUUUCAGGGCCUAUACCCCAAGAACUUGGCAAGCUAGUCCAUUUGCAAAGUCUUGAGCUCGAUUCAAAUGAUUUUUCAGGUCCAAUUCCAAUCUCCAUAACCAAUCUCACUAAGAUGAACACACUUUUUCUCUUUGAAAAUCAAAUCACAGGUUCAAUACCCCCAGAACUAGGCAACCUCUCUAUGUUAACCCAACUUGAUCUCUACACAAAUCAAAUAACAGGUUCGAUACCACCAGAACUAGGGAACCUCACUAUGCUAACUGAACUUUUUCUUUAUACAAAUCAAAUAACAGGUUCAAUACCCAGAGAACUAGGCAACCUCGCUAUGCUAAACAACCUUGAUCUCUCUACAAAUCAAAUCACAGGUUCAAUACCCAGAGAACUAGGGAACCUCACUAUGCUAACUGAACUUUUUCUUUAUACAAAUCAAAUAACAGGUUCAAUACCCAGAGAACUAGGCAACCUCGCUAUGCUAAACAGCCUUGCUCUCUCUAGAAAUCAAAUCACAGGUUCAAUACCCAGAGAACUAGGCAACCUCGCUAUGCUAAACAACCUUGCUCUCUCUAGAAAUCAAAUCACAGGUUCAAUACCCAGAGAACUAGGCAACCUCGCUAUGCUAAACAACCUUGCUCUCUCUAGAAAUCAAAUCACAGGUUCAAUACCCAGAGAACUAGGCAACCUCACUAUGCUGAAUAAACUUUAUCUCUACAGCAAUAAAAUCACGGGUCCUAUACCUUUAGAAUUGGGCAUCCUGUUGAAUCUUCAAGAAUUAUACUUGUCUGACAACCAAAUAACCGGUUCCAUUCCCUAA
rnacentral:rRNA from 1 species